rnacentral:rRNA from 1 species
ACAGCAGCAGCCACGGUAAUACGUAGGGUGCAAGCGUUAAUCGGAAUUACUGGGCGUAAAGCGUGCGCAGGCGGUUAUAUAAGACAGAUGUGAAAUCCCCGGGCUCAACCUGGGAACUGCAUUUGUGACUGUAUAGCUAGAGUACGGCAGAGGGGGAUGGAAUUCCGCGUGUAGCAGUGAAAUGCGUAGAUAUGCGGAGGAACACCGAUGGCGAAGGCAAUCCCCUGGGCCUGUACUGACGCUCAUGCACGAAAGCGUGGGGAGCAAACAGGAUUAGAUACCCGCGUAGUCCCUGUCUCUUAUAA